rnacentral:lncRNA from 1 species
CUUAGCUGCUGAAGAAGGAGAGUCGCAUUCAGCCAGGGAUCACUGAGCAUUCAAAAGUCCAUCUGAGACCUGCUUUCAUUGCACUGCCUCGUGAGGAGCUGUAGGAGAAGACAUCAUAACUAUUCCCCACUUCUAAUUGUUAGAAGCAACAGCUAUCUAUCAAGAACAAUCUGAGGAUUGUGCACAAAUUGAUUUGGUUCUAUCAAGUGCUGGCUUUCGAUUCCAGUCUGACUUCACUACCACAGGAGCUUCUUGCUCAGGCUUCUGUUCUGGCUCCAUUCUCUCCCUGCCAUUAUAAUGCCAUCCACUGCAGCACAAUCUCUUCAAUCAGAAAACAUUCAUGAUCUCAUUCCACCUGAAGCCAGUGCCUCUGUAAUGUGUAGCAGAAUCCUAUGGAGAAGUUGUAAAAACACAAAAUGUUGGCUCCACCCCAAGAGUUUCUGAUUUUGCAGGUCUGGAGAGGGCCCGUGAUACCUACUUCUAACAAGCUCCCAGGCGAUGCUAAUGUUGCUGGUCUAGAAACACACUUUGAGAGCCACUGUUUUAGCAUGUAUUCACCCAGCUUAUGCAAUCAACUACUAUCACAGCAAAGUUCAAAGAAUGCUCCUUAUUUGUUUGUUAUACUGGAGUUUGGCUUGGCUAAAUAUUAUUUGAAACUGAAUGAC